UACGAAGGGGGCUAGCGUUGUUCGGAAUCACUGGGCGUAAAGCGCACGUAGGCGGAUCUUUAAGUCAGAGGUGAAAGCCUGGAGCUCAACUCCAGAACUGCCUUUGAUACUCGGGAUCUCGAGUCCGGGAGAGGUGAGUGGAACUGCGAGUGUAGAGGUGAAAUUCGUAGAUAUUCGCAAGAACACCAGUGGCGAAGGCGGCUGACUGGUCCGGUUCUGACGCUGAGGCGCGAAAGCGUGGGGAGCAAACAGG
rnacentral:rRNA from 1 species